AUCAUAGAGGGGGACAAUCCCGUUUUUGGUGCUGAUGUUCGAGUCCUUUACGAUGCCUAUCUCAGAGGAGAGUCGAGAUAGUUUGGGAUUUGCUGCUUGAACAUGGGAGGUAGACACCUUCUAAAGCUAAAUAUUGGCAAGAGACCGAUAGUGGACAAGUACCGCAAGGGAAAGAUGAAAUAGCACUCUGUAAAGGGAGUCAAAAGGCGUGAAAUUGUUGCGAGAGAAGCGAUUCAAGUCAGCUUGACUAGGCCCAUGAUGACAUCUGUCCUCUGGACUAGUCUCGCCAGCGGUCUCAUCUUUAUUACGGUUUGACUAAGGUGCGGUAUAUCCUCAACGCACGGCUGGUGGAAUGGCUUGCAAUCGACCCGUCUUGAAACACGGACCAAGGAGUCUAACAUGCAUGCAAGUAUAAGGGUGACAAACCCGUAUGCGCAAUGAAAGUGACUUUCAGUGAUUGUUGUGUGGCUUGACGACCAGACAGGAAAUAUCAUGUCCCUCGGAUGGCCACUGCCCAAGUUCUGUGGUACGAACCCAUGAACAUGGAGACGGAGCAUGCAUGCUAGGACCCGAAAGAUGGUGAACUAUGCCUGGAGCAGAGCGAAGCCAAAGGAAACUCUGGUGGAGGCUCGUAGCGAUUCUGACCGUGCAAAUCGAUCGUCUGAUCUGGGUAUAGGGGCGAAAGACUAUCAACUGGACAGAGCGAAGCCAAAGGAAACUCUGGUGGAGGCUCGUAGCGAUUCUGACGUGCAAAUCGAUCGUCUGAUCUGGGUAU
rnacentral:rRNA from 1 species